CCUACGGGAGGCAGCAGUGAGGAAUAUUGGUCAAUGGGCGGAAGCCUGAACCAGCCAAGUAGCGUGCGGGAUGAAGGCCCUACGGGUCGUAAACCGCUUUUGCACGGGGAUAACACCCCCUACUUGUGGAGGUCUGCAGGUACCGUGCGAAUAAGGGCCGGCUAAUUCCGUGCCAGCAGCCACGGUAAUACGGAAGGCCCGGCCGUUAUCCGGAUUCAUUGGGCUUAAAGGGAGCGUAGGCGGCCGUUCAACUCAGCGGUAAAAUCGCGAGGCUCAACCGCGCCCCGAAGUUGAAACUGGAGGGCUUGAGUGCACAACAGGCAGGCGGAAUGCGUGGUGUAGCGGUGAAAUGCAUAGAUAUCACGAAGAACCCCGAUUGCGAAGGCAGCCUGCCGGGGUGCGACUGACGCUGAGGCUCGAAGGUGCGGGUAUCAAACAGGAUUAGAUACCCUUGUAGUC
rnacentral:rRNA from 1 species